rnacentral:rRNA from 1 species
CGCUGGCGGCGUGCUUAACACAUGCAAGUCGAACGGGCGAUUGAAAGCUUGCUUUGAUGAGCCUAGUGGCAAACGGGUGAGUAACGCGUAGGCAACCUGCCCUCAGGAUGGGGACAACGGCCCGAAAGGACCGCUAAUACCGAAUGAAGUGUCGGAAUCGCAUGAUACUGAUACCAAAGGCGGAGCAAUCCGUCACCUGAGGAUGGGCCUGCGUCUGAUUAGGUAGUUGGUGAGGUAACGGCCCACCAAGCCGACGAUCAGUAGCCGGUCUGAGAGGAUGAACGGCCACAUUGGGACUGAGACACGGCCCAGACUCCUACGGGAGGCAGCAGUGGGGAAUCUUCCGCAAUGGGCGAAAGCCUGACGGAGCAACGCCGCGUGAGUGAAGAAGGUCUUCGGAUCGUAAAGCUCUGUUGUCGGGGACGAAGGGGCAGAUCAGGAAAUGGGUCUGCUUAGACGGUACCUGACGAGGAAGCCACGGCUAACUACGUGCCAGCCGCCGC